rnacentral:piRNA from 1 species
UUGGCCUCAGAGUGGUGCAGACUCCGA